rnacentral:rRNA from 1 species
AAGGAAUAUUGGUCAAUGGACGCAAGUCUGAACCAGCCAUGCCGCGUGGAGGAUGAAGGUCCUCUGGAUUGUAAACUUCUUUUAUCUGAGAAGAAACCCAGGAAUUCUUUCCUGGCUGACGGUACCAGAUGAAUAAGCACCGGCUAACUCCGUGCCAGCAGCCGCGGUAAUACGGAGGGUGCAAGCGUUAUCCGGAUUCACUGGGUUUAAAGGGUGCGUAGGUGGGUUGGUAAGUCCGUGGUGAAAUCCCCAAGCUUAACUUGGGAACUGCCGUGGAUACUAUCAAUCUUGAAUAUCGUUGAGGUAAGCGGAAUAUGUCAUGUAGCGGUGAAAUGCUUAGAUAUGACAUAGAACACCGAUUGCGAAGGCAGCUCACUACGGAUGUAUUGACACUGAGGCACGAAAGCGUGGGGAUCAAA